rnacentral:rRNA from 1 species
GAUGAACGCUGGCGGCGUGCCUAAUACAUGCAAGUCGAGCGAACGGACGAGAAGCUUGCUUCUCUGAGUUAGCGGCGGACGGGUGAGUAACACGUGGAUAACCUACCUAUAAGACUGGGAUAACUUCGGGAAACCGGAGCUAAUACCGGAUAAUAUUUUGAACCGCAUGGUUCAAAAGUGAAAGACGGUCUUGCUGUCACUUAUAGAUGGAUCCGCGCUGCAUUAGCUAGUUGGUAAGGUAACGGCUUACCAAGGCAACGAUGCAUAGCCGACCUGAGAGGGUGAUCGGCCACACUGGAACUGAGACACGGUCCAGACUCCUACGGGAGGCAGCAGUAGGGAAUCUUCCGCAAUGGGCGAAAGCCUGACGGAGCAACGCCGCGUGAGUGAUGAAGGUCUUCGGAUCGUAAAACUCUGUUAUUAGGGAAGAACAUAUGUGUAAGUAACUGUGCACAUCUUGACGGUACCUAAUCAGAAAGCCACGGCUAACUACGUG